AGCAGCCGCGGUAAUUCCAGCUCCAAUAGCGUAUAUUAAAGUUGUUGCAGUUAAAAAGCUCGUAGUUGAAUUUCGGGAUUGACGUGACGGUCGUGCCUUAAGGGGUAUGAACUGUUGCAGUCAACUUCUCACCUUCUGGAGAAAUAUGAUGUCCUUAAUUGGGUGUCAUAUGAAACCAGAACUUUACCUUGAAAAAUUAGAGUGUUUAAAGCAAGCUUAUUGCUCGAAUACAUUAGCAUGGAAUAAUAAAAUAGGACGGCAUGAUUCUAUUUUGUUGGUUUCUAGGAUCACCGUAAUGAUUAAUAGGGAUAGUUGGGGGCAUUAGUAUUCAAUUGUCAGAGGUGAAAUUCUUGGAUUAUUUGAAGACUAACUACUGCGAAAGCAUUUGCCAAGGAUGUUUCAUUAAUCAAGAACGAAAGUUAGGGGAUCGAAGACGAUCAGAUACCGUCGUAGUCUUAAACCAUAAACUAUAGCCGACUAGGAAUCAGACGAUGUAA
rnacentral:rRNA from 1 species